UUGGACCUGGAAUUCCAGGUAGAAUACCCGCUGAACCUAAGCCAUUCAUAGCCGGGGGAAUUUCGGGAU
rnacentral:rRNA from 1 species